rnacentral:rRNA from 1 species
AGAGUUUGAUCAUGGCUCAGAUUGAACGCUGGCGGCAGGCCUAACACAUGCAAGUCGAGCGGAUGACGGGAGCUUGCUCCUUGAUUCAGCGGCGGACGGGUGAGUAAUGCCUAGGAAUCUGCCUGGUAGUGGGGGACAACGUUUCGAAAGGAACGCUAAUACCGCAUACGUCCUACGGGAGAAAGCAGGGGACCUUCGGGCCUUGCGCUAUCAGAUGAGCCUAGGUCGGAUUAGCUAGUUGGUGGGGUAAUGGCUCACCAAGGCGACGAUCCGUAACUGGUCUGAGAGGAUGAUCAGUCACACUGGAACUGAGACACGGUCCAGACUCCUACGGGAGGCAGCAGUGGGGAAUAUUGGACAAUGGGCGAAAGCCUGAUCCAGCCAUGCCGCGUGUGUGAAGAAGGUCUUCGGAUUGUAAAGCACUUUAAGUUGGGAGGAAGGGCAGUAAGUUAAUACCUUGCUGUUUUGACGUUACCGACAGAAUAAGCACCGGCUAACUCUGUGCCAGCAGCCGCGGUAAUACAGAGGGUGCAAGCGUUAAUCGGAAUUACUGGGCGUAAAGCGCGCGUAGGUGGUUUGUUAAGUUGGAUGUGAAAGCCCCGGGCUCAACCUGGGAACUGCAUCCAAAACUGGCAAGCUAGAGUACGGUAGAGGGUGGUGGAAUUUCCUGUGUAGCGGUGAAAUGCGUAGAUAUAGGAAGGAACACCAGUGGCGAAGGCGACCACCUGGACUGAUACUGACACUGAGGUGCGAAAGCGUGGGGAGCAAACAGGAUUAGAUACCCUGGUAGUCCACGCCGUAAACGAUGUCAACUAGCCGUUGGAAUCCUUGAGAUUUUAGUGGCGCAGCUAACGCAUUAAGUUGACCGCCUGGGAGUACGGCCGCAAGUUAAAACUCAAAUGAAUUGACGGGGGCCCGCACAAGCGGUGGAGCAUGGUGGUUUAAUUCGAAGCAACGCGAAGAACCUUACCAGGCCCUUGACAUGCAGAGAACCUUUCCAGAGAUGGAUUGGNGCCUUCGGAACUCUGACACNNGUGCUGCAAUGCCUGUCGUCAGCUCGUGUCGUGAGAUGUUGG